rnacentral:rRNA from 1 species
GACGAACGCUGGCGGCGUGCCUAACACAUGCAAGUCGAGCGAAUGAAGUUCCUUCGGGAAUGGAUUUAGCGGCGGACGGGUGAGUAACGCGUGGGCAACCUGCCUCAUAGAGGGGAAUAGCCUUCCGAAAGGGAGAUUAAUACCGCAUAAGAUUGUAGUAUCGCAUGAUACAGCAAUUAAAGGAGCAAUCCGCUAUGAGAUGGGCCCGCGGCGCAUUAGCUAGUUGGUGAGGUAACGGCUCACCAAGGCGACGAUGCGUAGCCGACCUGAGAGGGUGAUCGGCCACAUUGGGACUGAGACACGGCCCAGACUCCUACGGGAGGCAGCAGUGGGGAAUAUUGCACAAUGGGGGAAACCCUGAUGCAGCAACGCCGCGUGAGUGAUGACGGCCUUCGGGUUGUAAAGCUCUGUCUUCAGGGACGAUAAUGACGGUACCUGAGGAGGAAGCCACGGCUAACUACGUG